rnacentral:lncRNA from 1 species
AUUACAGAAAACCAAUAAUCGAUUACUUUGAGGUAUUUGAAAAUCAUUUGACAACGGUCAGCUUCAACAAUCGAUUGUCCCUUGCAACAAUCGAUUAUUUGUCAUUUUCUGAAAAUCUCAAAUCACACUGUUUCAAGCCAAAGUUUUUUGCGACUAAGUAUAAACUUUGACAAUCGAUUGUUGGACAUAGACAAUCGAUUGUUAAAC